CCGAAUAAUUGCAUACAAUAUAUAAAAAAAUUCGAUUUUAAUCAAAAUACAUUGUUUUUAAAGCAUAAUAUUUAACAAAACAUGUACUUGUCAAGUUAGAAUUUCAGUUAGAUAUCCAGUUCCCUAGUUCGCGCCAUUUUCUGCCAUUACAAAACGAUCUUCUUUUUAAAUAAGUUAAUUGUUAAUACACAAACUCUGUCCAACUUGACUGAAUUUCAGAAUCUAGCUUUAUAUUUUACCACAGUUUUACAAUAUAAAUCCCACAAUUGCAGUAAUUUCUUUAUUUGUUUAACGUUAGGUGUGCACCACAGUUGGUUACGUGGUACAUUUACUUCGUUAACAUACAAAGUUACUUGAGUUAAGAUUUUGGUAAUAGCCUAGUACAUUUACAAAAAAAAAAAAGUAAGUUUACUCUUACUUUAAGUAUAUUUUUUUAAUGGAAAAGUUGUACUUUUACUUGCGUUCCUUCAUUACUGGAUGUUAAUUCAUUACUAAAUGUAUAUUUUUAAUUGCUGUCGUGUUUCUAGGGUAUCCGCGAAUUAAUGACUCGUUUGAGUCGUUUCCUUACAACGUAUUACAAAUGAAUGAGUCUUUUGAGUCGAUUCUUUACAAAACAAACUGUCAAAACUUUUGAAUUGGUUCGCGAAUCAGUUUAAAUGAAUUGUUCAGAUCGCUUCAAAAACUGAAUCAUCUGGUGCGGUUUCAUCAAGAAACACGCAGAACACAGUGUAGGAUGACGUGAAUACUUGAAGCAAAACUUCACACGUAUAUCCGCCAUUAUGCGCGACCUGUUUGCAGUCAGACAUAGUUACACGUGCGCAACCUCCGAAAUACUGUACACGUGACUGUACAACAGAAUGACGAAAAUCUAUCGAUGCUUGUCUCGCUGUAUACUGUACUGUAAUUGCGUCUAAGGCUACAACAACAUGAGAUACUCAACAUAAGAAAACUUUCACACUGUGCCCUUCAUAUGGGACCAUACAGACAAAGUGUUUCUGUUUGCUGUGGAAACGAGAAAUUGGAAAGAUGAAUAUCAGAAUGUCAGAAGAAACUUGAAAAAAUGCUCUAACAAACAAAAUAACAAGAAGAGAGGCAGAAAAGGCUGUGUCAAAGUGGCUAAUUGGUGCCGGGAAAUAGGAGGGAAUCGCACUGCAAGGGCACAUGUUGGAGAACAAAUGGGGGCCGUUGGGACAGCGACAACAUAGGAGUGAGGAGCUGCAGUAAUGUUGUCUUGUUUGUGAAAACCUUUAUUUUAGAUUUUUCUGAUAUGCAUAUAUAAAAACAAGUUUUUCCAAAUAAAGUUUUACAAGAGUGAAUUAAAGCGUUACUCCAUCAAAAAAUGAAAAAUCUGUAAUUAAUUACUUUUCCUCAUGUCUUUCCACACAAGGCAAAACCUUGGAAUGACAUGAGGGUAACUAAUUAAUGAGAGAAAUUUAAAUUUUGGAUAAACAUAACCCUGUAAAUGUAACUUUUUUCCUUUCUUUAGUUGUGUUUUAUAAAGUUUUAAAUGUACAAGUCCUAAUAGUCAUGUUCAAAUUAUUAAUAAACUGCAUAAUGAAGUAAAUCAUGAACUGCUGUUUUCUGUUUAUUGAAUAACUUUAACAUUUUAUUGAAGUUUAAUGCUUGGAAGUUUUGUAUUUAGGGGUUUACUGUAAAAUAAGGUAACCCAAACCAACAAAUAUUGUAGCCCAUAAAUAUACCAGUUGUAACCCAUAAGUGCCCUAAAUAAGUCCUA